AUUAAAGUAGCUUAAAAAAAGCUUAAUAUUGAAAAUAUUAGAUUGAAAAUUAUUUUUUUCCUUUAAUA
rnacentral:tRNA from 3 species